AUUGAACGCUGGCGGCAUGCCUUACACAUGCAAGUCGAACGGCAGCACGGGGGCAACCCUGGUGGCGAGUGGCGAACGGGUGAGUAAUGCAUCGGAACGUGCCCAGUAGUGGGGGAGUAACUAGUCGAAAGAUUAGCUAAUACCGCAUACGACCUAUGGGUGAAAGCGGGGGAGUUCGCAAGAACCUCGCGCUAUCGGAGCGGCCGAUGUCUGAUUAGCUAGUUGGCGGGGUAAAGGCCCACCACGGCUUCGAUCAGUAGCUGGUCUGAGAGGACGACCAGCCACACUGGGACUGAGACACGGCCCAGACUCCUACGGGAGGCAGCAGUGGGGAAUUUUGGACAAUGGGCGCAAGCCUGAUCCAGCCAUGCCGCGUGCGGGAAGAAGGCCU
rnacentral:rRNA from 1 species